UAUUGGACAAUGGGCGAAAGCCUGAUCCAGCAAUACCGCGUGUGUGAAGAAGGCCUUAGGGUUGUAAAGCACUUUCAAUUGGGAGGAAAACCUACCGGUCAAUACCCGGUAGCUUGACAUUACCUUUAGAAGAAGCACCGGCUAACUCCGUGCCAGCAGCCGCGGUAAUACGGAGGGUGCGAGCGUUAACCGGAAUUACUGGGCGUAAAGCGUGCGUAGGCGGUUCGUUAAGUCAGAUGUGAAAGCCCUGGGCUCAACCUGGGAACGGCAUUUGAAACUGGCGGACUAGAGUUUAGUAGAGGGGAGUGGAAUUUCAGGUGUAGCGGUGAAAUGCGUAGAUAUUUGAAAGAACACCAGUGGCGAAGGCGACUCCCUGGACUAGAACUGACGCUGAGGACGAAA
rnacentral:rRNA from 1 species